UGGUUCAGUGGUAGAAUGCUUGCCUCAUAUGCAUGAGGCCCUGGGUUCGAUUCCUCAG
rnacentral:tRNA from 1 species